CCACAUUAUUAUUAUUAUUAUUAUUAUUAUUAUUAUUAUUAUUAUUAUUAUUAUUAUUAUGUCAUCUCUCCUUCCAUUUAGUAUUUCUUUGUUUUUCAUUUCUUUCCAUUUUAUUUAUUUUUUCUUCCUUACCUUCUACUUUAUUAUCAUUAUUACUGUCUAUUGCUUAACAUCAUUUUCCUGUCCAUUUUGUUAUUACUCUCAUCAUUAAGCAUCAUCAUUAUCACUAGUCAUUCAGCAUUUCGUUCAAGGUCCAUUUUGAGUCUUCCUGAGCGGUUGGAUGCUAGAUGGCUCUCCUCCAUUCUGCUCUGUCUUCUGCCUGAUGCUCAUCCAAUCCCAUCAAUGCCAAGUCUUUCUAUAUACACCUCCACGUUAUCCUAGGGCUACCAACUUGUCUCCUUCCUUCUACCUCCAGUCUCUCCACAACUUCCAGCACUGUAUCCUCCCCUGCUCUCUUUCUCCUCCAUUCUACGGUCUUCUGCCUGAUGCUCAUCCAAUCCCAUCAAUGCCAAGUCUUCCUGUAUACACCUUCUCCAUGUUAUCCUAGGUCAACCAACUGGUCUCCUUCCUUUUACCUCUAAUCUCUCCACAACUCCCAGCACUGUAUCCUCCCCUGCUCUCUUCACAUGUCCAAACCACUGGAGUCUUUCCCUUCUGAGCACUGUUUCCAGGUCCUCUACUAAAACUCCCAGCACUGUAUCCUCCCCUGCUCUCUUCACAUGUCCAAACCAUCGAAGUCUUUCCCUUCUGAGCACUGUUUCCAGGUCCUCUACUAAAACUCCCAGCACUGUAUCCUCCCCUGCUCUCUUCACAUGUCCAAACCAUCAGAGUCUUUCCCUUCUGAGCACUGUUUCCAGGUCCUCUACCAAAACUCCCAGCACUGUAUCCUCCCCUGCUCUCUUCACAUGUCCAAACCAUCAGAGUCUUUCCCUUCUGAGCACUGUUUCCAGGUCCUCUAUUAAAACUCCCAGCACUGUAUCCUCCCCUGCUCUCUUCACAUGUCCAAACCAUCGAAGUCUUUCCCUUCUGAGCACUGUUUCCAGGUCCUCUACUAAAACUCCCAGCACUGUAUCCUCCCCUGCUCUCUUCACAUGUCCAAACCAUCGAAGUCUUUCCCUUCUGAGCACUGUUUCCAGGUCCUCUACUAAAACUCCCAGCACUGUAUCCUCCCCUGCUCUCUUCACAUGUCCAAACAACAGGGUCUUUCCCUUCUGAGCACUGUUUCCAGGAAUCACUUGUCAUUCACUCUUAUUAUUAUUGUUACUCUUCUCAUUAUCACAUAUUUCCAGUCAUCUUUUUAUUAUCAUUGUCAUUAUGCAUCAUCAUUAUCACUUGUCAUUCACCAUCAUCAUUAUCACACACACUUCCAUUCACCAGUUUCUUAUUU